rnacentral:ncRNA from 2 species
AAAUGUGACUAGGGGUGCCCGAGGCUGGGCUGAGAGAGAAGUGUAUACUUCUUAACCCUUUGGACCUGAUCUGGCUCGUACCAGCGUGGGGAAGUUGAAGAUGAUACAU